CAAUAGCGUAUAUUAAAGUUGUUGCAGUUAAAAAGCUCGUAGUUGGACCUUGGGCCUGGACGGGCGGUCCGCCUCACGGCGUGUACUGUCUUGCCGGGCCUUUCCUCUUGGUGAUCUGUUGUUUCGGCAGCAGGGAACCAGGACCUUUACUUUGAAAAAAUUAGAGUGUUCAAAGCAGGCUCGACGCCGGAAUAUAUUAGCAUGGAAUAAUAAAAUAGGACGUGCGGUUCUAUUUUGUUGGUUUUUGGAAUCGCCGUAAUGAUUAAUAGGGACAGUCGGGGGCAUUAGUACUCACAUGCUAGAGGUGAAAUUCUUGGAUUUUGUGAAGACUAACUUCUGCGAAAGCAUUUGCCAAGGAUGGUUUCAUUAA
rnacentral:rRNA from 1 species